rnacentral:rRNA from 1 species
AGUGAACGCUGGCGGUAGGCCUAACACAUGCAAGUCGAACGGCAGCACAGUAAGAGCUUGCUCUUACGGGUGGCGAGUGGCGGACGGGUGAGGAAUACAUCGGAACCUACUUUUUCGUGGGGGAUAACGUAGGGAAACUUACGCUAAUACCGCAUUCGACCUACGGGUGAAAGCAGGGGAUCUUCGGACCUUGCGCGAUUGAAUGAGCCGAUGUCGGAUUAGCUAGUUGGCGGGGUAAAGGCCCACCAAGGCGACGAUCCGUAGCUGGUCUGAGAGGAUGAUCAGCCACACUGGAACUGAGACACGGUCCAGACUCCUACGGGAGGCAGCAGUGGGGAAUAUUGGACAAAGGGCGCAAGCCUGAUCCAGCCAUACCGCGUGGGUGAAGAAGGCCUUCGGGUUGUAAAGCCCUUUUGUUGGGAAAGAAAAGCAGCAGGUUAAUACCCCGCUGUUCUGACGGUACCCAAAGAAUAAGCACCGGCUAACUUCGUG